GCGUCGGUGGUGUAGUGGUUAACAUACCGGGUAUUGCCUUUCAAGCAAUAGUCCCGGAUUCGAUUCCCGGUCGGUGCA